AUUCCAGCUCCAAUAGCGUAUAUUAAAGUUGUUGCAGUUAAAAAGCUCGUAGUUGGAUUUGUGGUUGGGUCUGUCGGUCCGGCACAUUGUGCGGGUACUUGAUGGACUCGUCCAUCCUUGGGUGGAAUCUGUGUGGCAUUAAGUUGUCGUGCAGGGGAUGCCCAUCGUUUACUGUGAAAAAAUUAGAGUGUUCAAAGCAGGCUUAUGCCGUUGAAUAUAUUAGCAUGGAAUAAUGAGAUAGGACCUUGGUACUAUUUUGUUGGUUUGCGCACCGAGGUAAUGAUUAAUAGGGACAGUUGGGGGUAUUCGUAUUCCAUUGUCAGAGGUGAAAUUCUUGGAUUUUUGGAAGACGAACUACUGCGAAAGCAUUUACCAAGGAUGUUUUCAUUAAUCAAGAACGAAAGUUAGGGGAUCGAAGAUGAUUAAAUACCAUCGUAGUCGUCA
rnacentral:rRNA from 1 species